UUUACACGACAACACACGGAAUAGGCUACUGCCCCACAUGGAAAAGCUUUAUAUUGUACAUUUACGAGGAAAAUCAAUUGAAGUAGAAUGGUUGAAACACAGCCCAGACGAGGAUCUCCUAGUUUAAAGAUUUAAAUGUGGAAAUGUUGCCACCGCAUCGCAUUUUUUUCACAAGGCUUUGGCAUUUGCACCAGUAGUGAACACACACAUAGGCUACAACACACACAAUAGUGCGGAUGUCUGUGGUCACUGCACAAACCCCAGCUACGCAGAAUAGGAGAUGUUCACAUUUGGAAUGUGGAUUUAAAAAACAAUGUUGCUCCAUCUAAUAGAAGGCUAUACAUAAAAUGUACAAAUAAAAUGGAUGGCAAACCAACGGGAAUAGCCUACGUCCGUUUCCUACCAAAAGGAAUAGGAACGAAUAACAUCGAAUACAUUUCGAUUCCCCGGAAAGGACACCGGGAAUAUGAUAGCAUCAGAGUACAGUUGACGCAGGUACCUACAGCGCUCUACCCACUCCUGGAGCAGCACGGACCUUUCUCACCUGCUCAGAAGGCGCCGGACCCCUUAACACGCCACCUAUCUUCACGCGGAGGGAUAAUUGAGGAGUAUGUGUGUGAGCGUCGUUUGGAGAAGAACGUGAUCAAGUUGUUGUCUCCCUUGAGAUUACAUUUAUCAUUUGUAGGCUAUGCUUUGAGUCAAAGGUUAGAGGAAUUACCCACGAAGCAGACUUCCAAUAGCGACAUCACAAAUGAAAUAAAACAGCACUGUAAUUGCAGUGAGAGAGAAGAUCUUUAUAAUUCGGCGACAGGCACUGUCCAUACUGGCAUAUGAGUAAAAUCUGUGAAAGGAGCGCCGAAGUACCUGAUUGGAGCGCACAGGUAGUUUACCUGUACAUAUAGUUCCCUUCCUGCGUGUAUCCAGAGGCACAACAGCGGAUAGGUAGCCGACCUCUGCCUUUUUAUCUUGACUUAGUGACUGUAUAUUCACAUUGAAAAUCCUUCUGUGCCAUUCCGCAUUGUAUUUAUUGUACAAAAACGAAAGGGGGAAGAUGCAGACAUAUUUUUCUACCGGGCUCUCACUGGCAUUAACUAAACACGCUGCGGCAAAGGCGUAAUUUACAACCUGCAAAUAUGCAUAUCAUACUAUAUGGGGCUUUUUUUGAUUAUGUUUCAUGUUUAUCAUAGUUAAAAAUAUUAAAAAAAACAUCAUCACUUGUAGGCUCCAGUCAGUCAUGUGCAGCGGAGAGUAACUAACACACAUGGUUUGUGGUUGGUAAAGUAGGCUAUUCCCCUCCCUUCUCGGUAUCUAUUUAUUUUCUGGAUGGAUGGAUGAUAAGUUCACAAAUGGAUGGAAGCGGCUAUAUGAUGAACCCACUCAAAGCCAUUUGGAUUUGAAUGGAGCUCAUACGAAACCAGGAAUAUGGAAACUUGAUCAAGAUGGCAGGUUAUCAGGAGGAAGAGCGCUGGGUGCUGGUGUCCUCAUCACGUUCUCAACUUACUGUUACUGUAUGGCAGAUUUCGUUGAGCAAUUCAUUUGGUUUUGGGCUGUUCCCUGGCGUCCCCACCUCCCAGAGAAAUGUCUGAGGCCUUGAUAUAUUCCUCUCAGGUUUCCAUGGCCGCACCGCCCGGGCCAGAUCCCGUUGCACUGAUGUCACUCAUGAAUUGAACCACCUCUCUACGGGAAGGGAUUCACAAGGUAUCCAUACCGGAGGGAAAAGGACAUUUGUUGAGUUAAAUCGUGGCAAAGGUGAUUUGGCCUACAUGCAUGUUGACAGCUUUAUGGACUGUUGGCCUUGGAGCGUGAGGGGAAAAGUGAAGAGAGCUGGCAUGUUUCCCAGACACGCGCAGGUGAAACAUCAUGGUCAGUGCCCGUGUUAACAGUAACAAUCUGGCACCUAACAAGCGCACCUACAGCCUGUCAGAGGAGACCACUGCGUAGCAAUUUGACUGUGACUGUGUGUGUGCGUGUGUGUGGGGGGAUUCAGUGUCUGUAUGUGUCUACUGUAUGUGUGUGCAUGUGUGUCCCAAUUCAGGAGGGAAUGAUGUCUGAAGCAAUGUGACACUGCUGUGAAUGAGAUGAAGGUUAUGGAAUUCUAAGAACACAAAUACUUGCCAAUUGAGGUAAAGUUCAACUGAUGGACCUCUUAAAGCCUGCUGGAGGCCAUCUAUGGAUUGUCAUGAUUUUGAUCUGAUGUAAUCUUGACUGAUUUAGAUGAUUGGCAAUUGUGUCAAAUCCACAAACAAAGAAUACAGUGUUUUGUCAAAAAUCUCCACAUUGACUAUGUGGUCAGUUAGGGCCGCAAUUAUGGGAGCUUCUAGACUAUACAAUUUAUAAAAUAUUUGUUAACUUCAGGAUGUGUAUUUAUGCUUCAGUGGUAAUGCUAGUUUUGUUCUUUGUUCAUUUGUUUGUUUGUCUGUUUUUAAUAGGGGGUAUGUUACUUGAACGUCAUUAUGUGAUUGAUUUUAUGAUGCCUUCUCAACAUGACAACUCGCUGUUAGUGAUAAUGACAUAGUUACGAUAGAAUGAUCCAUUGUGGACUAAGUUCACAGCUCUCUGCCCUUUAACCAUAUUGAGUCUUUGGCAACACUAAGUGCUGCCACACAGCCACACCCUUUCAGUAUUACGUCAUGAGAAUCUUUGUCUGGGCUCGGUGACACAACUGUAAAUGCCACAGCAUGGAGCGUGGUCAUCGCUUUAGCUAACGGAAACCUCAGCUAUGUAUGUCUGAUCUCAGGGGAUAUUUCGACUCCAAACACCCGAGCCCCACCAGCAAGAAAUGACACCGAAUGAGUUGACCUCUCUGGAUCUUUUUUUUACGAGGGUCUUUAAUUGGAUUUUAAUAUCAUUCGAUUGGGAGAAACAUCUCAUUAUAUUCCACUUUGAAUGUAUAAAGAGUCAUGGUUU